GAGGAGUCAGCAUCGAUCUGAAAGUCGCUGGAGGCCACACUGCAUGCGACUUUCUCCGGGGCGUGACUUCUUCUUGAGGUCAGGAGGACCUCCUGGACCCAGGCUGGACAUAGACCAAGGAGGGUGCUGCUUGUGCAGACAGCUAACACAGCAGGUCAUGAUGAGCAGCAAAGACCAGACCAAGGGCAGGAUCUGGGGCCCCAGGAGCUGAGCAAGGGCACCACAGUG
rnacentral:lncRNA from 1 species